AGUGAACGCUGGCGGUAGGCCUAACACAUGCAAGUCGAACGGCAGCACAGUAAGAGCUUGCUCUUACGGGUGGCGAGUGGCGGACGGGUGAGGAAUACAUCGGAAUCUACUUUUUCGUGGGGGAUAACGUAGGGAAACUUACGCUAAUACCGCAUACGACCUACGGGUGAAAGCAAGGGAUCUUCGGACCUUGCGCGAUUGAAUGAGCCGAUGUCGGAUUAGCUAGUUGGCGGGGUAAAGGCCCACCAAGGCGACGAUCCGUAGCUGGUCUGAGAGGAUGAUCAGCCACGCUGGAACUGAGACACGGUCCAGACUCCUACGGGAGGCAGCAGUGGGGAAUAUUGGACAAUGGGCGCAAGCCUGAUCCAGCCAUACCGCGUGGGUGAAGAAGGCCUUCGGGUUGUAUAGCCCUUUUGUUGGGAAAGAAAAGCAGCAGGUUAAUACCCCGCUGUUCUGACGGUACCCAAAGAAUAAGCACCGGCUAACUUCGUG
rnacentral:rRNA from 1 species